ACGAACGCUGGCGGCGUGCUUAACACCUGCAAGUCGCACGGAAAGGCCCUGCUUGCAGGGUCCUCGAGUGGCGAACGGGUGAGUAACACGUGGGUGAUCUGCCCUGCACUUCGGGAUAAGCCUGGGAAACUGGGUCUAAUACCGGAUAGGAGCCAUUUUUAGUGUGAUGGUUGGAAAGUUUUUUCGGUGUAGGAUGAGCUCGCGGCCUAUCAGCUUGUUGGUGGGGUAAUGGCCUACCAAGGCGGCGACGGGUAGCCGGCCUGAGAGGGUGGACGGCCACAUUGGGACUGAGAUACGGCCCAGACUCCUACGGGAGGCAGCAGUGGGGAAUAUUGCACAAUGGGCGCAAGCCUGAUGCAGCGACGCCGCGUGGGGGAUGACGGCCUUCGGGUUGUAAACUCCUUUCGCUAGGGACGAAGCUUUUUGUGACGGUACCUAGAUAAGAAGCACCGGCUAACUACGUG
rnacentral:rRNA from 1 species